rnacentral:rRNA from 1 species
CGCGAACGGCUCAUUAUAACAGCUAUCAUUUACUUGAAUUUGACAACCCUACUUGGAUACCGGUGGUAAUUCUAGCGCUAAUACAUGCACCAAAGCUCCGACCGCGAGGGAAGAGCGCAUUUAUUAGAACAAAACCACACGGCUUCGGCCGUCCAAUGUUGACUCAGAAUAACUAAGCUGAUCGCAUGGUCUUGCACCGGCGACGUUUCUUUCAAGUAUCUGCCUUAUCAACUUUCGAUGGUAGUGUAUCUGACUACCAUGGUGAUGACGGGUAACGGAGGAUAAGGGUUCGACUCCGGAGAAGGGGCCUGAGAAAUGGCCACUACGUCUAAGGAUGGCAGCAGGCGCGCAAAUUACCCACUCUCAGUACGAGGAGGUAGUGACGAGAAAUAACAAGACCGUUCUCACAAGAGGCCGGUCAUUGGAAUGGGUACAAUUUAAACCCUUUAACGAGUAUCUAUGAGAGGGCAAGUCUGGUGCCAGCAGCCGCGGUAAUUCCAGCU